CGGGUGUAGCUCAGCUGGUUAGAGCGCCGCCCUGUCACGGCGGAGGCCGCGAGUUCAAGUCUCGUCACUC
rnacentral:tRNA from 1 species